rnacentral:pre_miRNA from 14 species
AUCCCUAGGCUCCAAGAGUAAUCUCAGAUCGUGAUUCCCCACCAUAAGUGAAAAAUCCCACGCAGAGAGACCCUUACUCAAGUCUUGGGAAAUCGCGGACCCCAGACACAGAGAGACCA